rnacentral:rRNA from 1 species
UACGUAGGUGGCAAGCGUUGUUCGGAUUCAUUGGGCGUAAAGGGUGCGUAGGCGGCGCGGUAAGUCGGAUGUGAAAUCUCGGAGCUUAACUUCGAAACUGCAUUCGAUACUGCCGUGCUUGAGGACUGGAGAGGAGACUGGAAUUUACGGGUGUAGCGGUGAAAUGCGUAGAUAUCGUAAGGAAGACCAGUGGCGAAGGCGGGUCUCUGGACAGUUCCUGACGCUGAGGCACGAAGGUCAGGGGGAGCAAACGGG